rnacentral:rRNA from 1 species
UCUGGUUGAUCCUGCCAGUAGUCAUAUGCUUGUCUCAAAGAUUAAGCCAUGCAUGUCUAAGUAUAAAUAGUAUACAGUGAAACUGCGAAUGGCUCAUUAAAACAGUUAUAGUUUAUUUGAUAAUUGACAAUUACAUGGAUAACCGUGGUAAUUCUAGAGCUAAUACAUGCUUAAACGCCCGACCUUAUGGAAGGGUGGUAUUUAUUAGACUGAAGCCAAUAUUCCUUGUGUCUAUUGCGGUGAUUCAUAAUAACUGAUCGAAUCUCUUUUUGAGAUAAAUCAUUCAAGUUUCUGCCCUAUCAGCUUUCGAUGGUAGUGUAUUGGACUACCAUGGCAGUAACGGGUAACGAAGAAUUAGGGUUCGAUUUCGGAGAGGGAGCAUGAGAAACGGCUACCACAUCUAAGGAAGGCAGCAGGCGCGUAAAUUACCCAAUCCUGACUCAGGGAGGUAGUGACAAGAAAUAGCAAACCGGGAACCUCAUGGUUUCACGGUAUUGCAAUGAGAACAAUUUAAAACCCUUAGCGAGAAUCAAGUGGAGGACAAGUCUGGUGCCAGCACCCGCGGUAAUUCCAGCUCCACUAGCGUAUAUUAAAGUUGUUGCAGUUAAAAAGCUCGUAGUUGAACCUCUGUCUGGGGCUAGUUUUGGCUUUGGUCAGGCUAGUUCUAGGCAUCCGCCUACAAGACUUAGAGGGCAUUCAGUUGUUCACUAGGAGGAGUAGGCAUUUUACUUUGAAAAAAUUAGAGUGUUUAAGGCAGGCAAUCGCCCGCAUAUAUUAGCAUGGAACAAUAGAAUAGGACACUUUUCCAUUUCGUUGGUUAUUGGAAUCGUGUAAUGAUUAAUAGGGACAGUUGUGGGCAUUUGUAUUUAAUUGUCAGAGGUGAAAUUCUUGGAUUUAUUAAAGACAAACUAACGCGAAAGCAUUUGCCAAGGAUGUUUUCAUUAAUCAAGAACGAAAGUUAGGGGAUCAAAGACGAUCAGAUACCGUCCUAGUCUUAACUAUAAACUAUUCCGACUCAAUGUUUGACUGGCUUAUAUAACCAGUUGAGCGUUGUAUGAGAAAUCAAAGUCUUUAGGUUCUGGGGGGAGUAUGGUUGCAAAGCUGAAACUUAAAGGAAUUGACGGAAGAGCACAACCAGGAGUGGAUUCUGCGGCUUAAUUUGACUCAACACGGGGAAACUUACCAGGUUAAAACAAUAGUGGGAUUGACAGUUUGAGAGCGCUUUCUUGAUUGGUUGGGUGGUGGUGCAUGGCCGUUCUUAGUUGGUGGAGUGAUUUGUCUGCUUAAUUGCGUUAACGAACGAGACCUUAACCUGCUUACUAGACUGGCGAUCAUCAAUCGUUAGCUCUUCUUAGA